GCCAGACUCCUACGGGAGGCAGCAGUGGGGAAUAUUGGGCAAUGGAGGAAACUCUGACCCAGCAACGCCGCGUGAAGGAUGAAGGUUUUCGGAUUGUAAACUUCUGUCGCGAGGGACGAAGAAUGACGGUACCUCGUAAGAAAGCCCCGGCUAACUACGUGCCAGCAGCCGCGGUAAUACGGAGGGUGCGAGCGUUAAUCGGAAUUACUGGGCGUAAAGCGCUCGUAGGCGGUAUGUCAAGUCAAGGGUGAAAUCCCCGCGCUCAACGUGGGAACUGCCUUUGAAACUGGCAAACUGGAGUGUGUGAGAGGAUAGUGGAAUUCCAGGUGUAGGAGUGAAAUCCGUAGAUAUUUGGAGGAACAUCAGUGGCGAAGGCGACUAUCUGGCACAUAACUGACGCUGAGGAGCGAAAGCGUGGGUAGCAAACAGGAUUAGAUACCCGAGUA
rnacentral:rRNA from 1 species